ensembl:miRNA xtr-mir-30d xtr-mir-30d
AGUUUGUCGCUGUAAACAUCCCCGACUGGAAGCUGUGAGGCUGCAUUUGAGCUUUCAGUCUGGUGUUUGCUGCUACCGGCU